CCUACGGGUGGCAGCAGUGAGGAAUAUUGGUCAAUGGACGAGAGUCUGAACCAGCCAAGUAGCGUGAAGGAUGACUGCCCUAUGGGUUGUAAACUUCUUUUAUAAAGGAAUAAAACGAGGCACGUGUGCCUUUUUGCAUGUACUUUAUGAAUAAGGAUCGGCUAACUCCGUGCCAGCAGCCGCGGUAAUACGGAGGAUCCGAGCGUUAUCCGGAUUUAUUGGGUUUAAAGGGAGCGUAGAUGGGUUGUUAAGUCAGUUGUGAAAGUUUGCGGCUCAACCGUAAAAUUGCAAUUGAUACUGGCAGUCGUGAGUACAGUGGAGGUAAGCGGAAUUCGUGGUGUAGCGGUGAAAUGCUUAGAUAUCACGAAGAACCCCGAUUGCGAAGGCAGCUUACUAAACUGUGACUGACAUUGAUGCUCGAAAGUGUGGGUAUCAAACAGGAUUAGAUACCCGUGUAGUC
rnacentral:rRNA from 1 species